UACGUAGGGGGCGAGCGUUGUCCGGAUUUAUUGGGCGUAAAGAGCGUGUAGGCGGCCAGGUAGGUCCGUUGUGAAAACUCGAGGCUCAACCUCGAGACGUCGGCGGAAACCAUCUGGCUAGAGUCCGGAAGAGGAGAGUGGAAUUCCUGGUGUAGCGGUGAAAUGCGCAGAUAUCAGGAAGAACACCCGUGGCGAAGGCGGCUCUCUGGGACGGUACUGACGCUGAGACGCGAAAGCGUGGGGAGCAAACAGG
rnacentral:rRNA from 1 species